GCACACAAUUACCCUCAUUCCAGUCAUUGGAAUUCUUCACACAGAACUGCCAUUCACAUUAUAGUGUUUCACACAAACACAGACUCAUUCUCUCUGCUGAACUACAAUCAGAUUUCAACAUUCAAUCUUUCUUCUUCUCAAAUAGUACCAAUCACAUUUCCAUUCCAUAAUUCACUUCACAAUAUUCAGAAACUCUCAAUCCACUUAUUCAAAGAAAAUAACAAAGAAAAGAAAAGAGGUAGCACCAAGCUUAUCCCUGCUCACACUAUCAUAGCAAUAGCCUUUAGCUCACGACUCUCACAGUCUGGCCCUCAGCUUACGACUCUCGCAGUUUGACACCCUAAUUAACUUCUACAACUCCUAUAUACUUUUCCUUGAUUCUCCAGAUUCUAAUCGUAAUUUUGUAAUUAAUCGCUUUUAAUAACUAAAUCACUCAUCCAUCC
rnacentral:lncRNA from 1 species